rfam:Enterovirus 71 strain TW/2086/98 polyprotein gene, complete cds.
UAAAACAGCUGUGGGUUGCACCCACCCACCGGGCCACUGGGCCGCUAGCACUCUGGUACUGAGGUACCUUUGUGCGCCUGUUUUUAC